UUCCAAAGCGUUGAGCUCAGUUCAGGGUACCCUUCCCUGCUCUGGUAAUUAAACUUUGGAACACUGAACUGGCUAGGGCAAGUGCUUGGAUAGAGAUUGUCCUCUAUCCACUGGUCCCCAGCCUACAGCC
ensembl:snoRNA